AUUGAACGCUGGCGGAAUGCUUUACACAUGCAAGUCGAGCGGCAGCGCGGGGCGACCUGGCGGCGAGCGGCGAACGGGUGAGUAACAUAUCGGAACGUGUCCUUUAGUGGGGGAUAACGCAGCGAAGGCUGUGCUAAUACCGCAUACGAUCGAGAGAUGAAAGCGGGGGAUCGCAAGACCUCGCGCUAAAGGAGUGGCCGAUAUCAGAUUAGCUAGUUGGUGAGGUAAAGGCUCACCAAGGCGACGAUCUGUAGCUGGUCUGAGAGGAUGAUCCGCCACACUGGGACUGAGACACGGCCCAGACUCCUACGGGAGGCAGCAGUGGGGAAUAUUGGACAAUGGACGAAAGUCUGAUCCAGCAAUACCGCGUGAAUGAUGAAGGCCUUAGGGUUGUAAAGUUCUUUUAGUAGGGAAGAUAAUGACGGUACCUACAGAAAAAGCCCCGGCUAACUCCGUGCCAGCAGCCGCGGU
rnacentral:rRNA from 1 species